rnacentral:rRNA from 1 species
UGCUACCUGGUUGAUCCUGCCAGAAG